rnacentral:rRNA from 1 species
UGACCUCAAAUCAGGUAGGACUACCCGCUGAACUUAAGCAUAUCAAUAAGCGGAGGAAAAGAAACUAACAAGGAUUCCCCUAGUAACUGCGAGUGAAGCGGGAAAAGCUCAAAUUUAAAAUCUGGCGGUCCUUGUGGCCGUCCGAGUUGUAAUUUAGAGAAGUGUUAUCCGCGCUGGACCGUAUACAAGUCUCCUGGAAUGGAGCGUCAUAGAGGGUGAGAAUCCCGUCUUUGAUACGGACUGCCAGGGCAUUGUGAUACGCUCUCAAAGAGUCGAGUUGUGUGGGAAUGCAGCUCAAAAUGGG